rnacentral:rRNA from 1 species
AAAGGAAUAGACGGGGGCCCGCACAAGCGGAGGAACAUGUGGUUUAAUUCGAUGAUACGCGAGGAACCUUACCCGGGCUCGAACGGCUGUUGAAUAUAGAUGAAAGUUUAUAGUCGUAAGACAACAGUCGAGGUGCUGCAUGGUUGUCGUCAGCUCGUGCCGUGAGGUGUCGGCUUAAGUGCCAUAACGAGCGCAACCCUUACCGUUAGUUACCAUCAGGUAAAGCUGGGGACUCUAACGGGACUGCCACCGUAAGGUGCGAGGAAGGUGGGGAUGACGUCAAAUCAGCACGGCCCUUACGUCCGGGGCUACACACGUGUUACAAUGGGGGGCACAGAAGGCAGCUACCAAGCGAUUGGAUGCUAAUCUAAAAAACCCCUCCCAGUUCGGAUUGGAGUCUGCAACCCGACUCCAUGAAGCUGGAUUCGCUAGUAAUCGCGCAUCAGCCAUGGCGCGGUGAAUACGUUCCCGGGCCUUGUACACACCGCCCGU